rnacentral:lncRNA from 1 species
AGGGCGAGGCUGCCAGGAUCUUUUCUGUCCAGCGAGGAGCAGAGAGCGAGAAACCCUGAAGGGCUGAGACAAGGAGACCUGGAGUCAGGGCUCGGGUGGGGCUGGCCCCUGCACCCAGGGUCGAACCAGGGGGCUCCCAGGCAGGGGGGAUUCACUGGCUCCGGGGUCAGACCCUGCCCAUGCCCACCCCUGUCAUCAGAGGGAGGGGCCCUGGCCUUGCCCAAGGCAGCCCUGUCCCAGCUUCAGUGUGGGCCUCUGGGCUCUGCAGAACAGUCCUUCCUGGAGCAGGAGAACCACAGCCUGAAAAGACAGAACCAGGACCUUCGGGAGCAGCUGGGGGCCCUCCUGGGGCCGGGGCAGCAGUUCCUGCCCCUGUGUCCCGAACACUCAAGCUGCACUGCUCUGGCCUGGCCCGACCCGGCUGGCACGCAGCCCUUGGGGAACAGGGCACCUCUGCAGCUGCUGCGGCGGGAGCUGUCCCAGGGGCAAGAGGCUUUCGUGCAGCCGUCCCAACGAGCUGCAGCAGAUCCGCCUGUGCUUUGAGAGGAAGAAGAUGGUCAUCACAGAGCGUGGGACAACGUGGCUGAGAUGCACGUGGCCCUGAACAACCAGGCCACCGGGCUCCUGGU